GAUGAACGCUGGCGGUAUGCUUAACACACGCAAGUCGAACGGACUCUUCGGAGUUAGUGGCGGACGGGUGAGUAACGCGUGAGAAUCUGGCUUUGGGUUCGGGACAACCACUGGAAACGGUGGCUAAUACCGGAUGUGCCGAGAGGUAAAAGAGAAAUUGCCUGAAGAUGAGCUCGCGUCUGAUUAGCUAGUUGGUGAGGUAAAGGCGCACCAAGGCAGCGAUCAGUAGCUGGUCUGAGAGGAUGACCAGCCACACUGGGACUGAGACACGGCCCAGACUCCUACGGGAGGCAGCAGUGGGGAAUUUUCCGAAAUGGGCGAAAGCCUGACGGAGCAAUACCGCGUGAGGGAAGAAGGCUCUUGGGUUGUAAACCUCUUUUCUUAGGGAAGAACAAAAUGACGGUACCUAAGGAAUCAGCAUCGGCUAACUCCGUG
rnacentral:rRNA from 1 species